rnacentral:rRNA from 1 species
UACGGAGGGUGCGAGCGUUGUCCGGAAUCAUUGGGCGUAAAGGGCGCGUAGGUGGCCCCUCAAGCGUGCGGUGAAAGUCAGGGGCUCAACCCCUGAUCGGCCGUGCGAACUGGGGAGCUUGAGCACUGUAGAGGCAGGCGGAAUUCCGGGUGUAGCGGUGGAAUGCGUAGAGAUCGGAAGAACACCGGUGGCGAAGGCGGCCUGCUGGGCAGUUUUGCUGACACUGAGGCGCGACAGCGUGGGGAGCAAACAGG